rnacentral:sRNA from 1 species
GGUGGGAUUGGGGAUGAAGUGGUUGACCCGGUCCCCGAUCACCGCCCAGGUGCGCUUGCCGUCGCUGACCAUCUGCACCCCGCGGCGCUUGAACCUCUU